AGUGAACGCUGGCGGUAGGCCUAACACAUGCAAGUCGAACGGCAGCACAGUAAGAGCUUGCUCUUACGGGUGGCGAGUGGCGGACGGGUGAGGAAUACAUCGGAAUCUACUUUUUCGUGGGGGAUAACGUAGGGAAACUUACGCUAAUACCGCAUACGACCUACGGGUGAAAGCAGGGGAUCUUCGGACCUUGCGCGAUUGAAUGAGCCGAUGUCGGAUUAGCUAGUUGGCGGGAUAAAGGCCCACCAAGGCGACGAUCCGUAGCUGGUCUGAGAGGAUGAUCAGCCACACUGGAACAGAGACACGGCCCAGACCCCUACGGGAGGCAGCAGUGGGGAAUAUUGGACAAUGGGCGCAAGCCUGAUCCAGCCAUACCGCGUGGGUGAAGAAGGCCUUCGGGUUGUAAAGCCCUUUUGUUGGGAAAGAAAAGCAGCAGGUUAAUACCCCGCUGUUCUGACGGUACCCAAAGAAUAAGCACCGGCUAACUUCGU
rnacentral:rRNA from 1 species